AUACGUAGGUGGCAAGCGUUGUCCGGAAUUACUGGGUGUAAAGGGCGUGUAGGCGGAGCGGCAAGUCAGAAGUGAAAUCUCCGGGCUUAACCCGGAAACUGCUUUUGAAACUGUCGCCCUUGAGUAUCGGAGAGGCAGGCGGGAUUUCUAGUGUAGCGGUGAAAUGCGUAGAUAUUAGGAGGAACACCAGGGGCGAAGGCGGCCUGCUGGACGACAACUGACGCUGAGGCGCGAAAGCGUGGGGAGCAAACAGGAUUAGAUACCCUGGUAGUCCACGCCGUAAACGAUGGAUACUAGGUGUGGGGGGACUGACCCCCUCCGUGCCGCAGUCAACACAAUAAGUAUCCCACCUGGGGAGUACGAUCGCAAGAUUGAAACUCAAAUGAAUUGACGGGG
rnacentral:rRNA from 1 species